UACGUAGGGACCAAGCGUUGUUCGGAUUUACUGGGCGUAAAGGGCGCGUAGGCGGCAUGACAAGUCACUUGUGAAAUCUCCGGGCUUAACUCGGAACGGUCAAGUGAUACUGUCGCGCUAGAGUGCGGAAGGGGCAAUCAGAAAUUCUUGGUGUAGCGGUGAAAUGCGUAGAUAUCAAGAGGAAUACCUGAGGUGAAGACGGGUUGCUAGGCCGACACUGACGCUGAAGCGCGAAAGCCAGGGGAGCAAACGGG
rnacentral:rRNA from 1 species